rnacentral:rRNA from 1 species
UUCCAGACUCCUACGGGAGGCAGCAGUGAGGAAUAUUGGUCAAUGGGCGCGAGCCUGAACCAGCCAAGUCGCGUGAGGGAUGACGGCCCUACGGGUUGUAAACCUCUUUAGGCGGGGAGCAAUGCCGGGCACGCGUGUCCGGAGGGAGAGUACCCGCAGAAUAAGCAUCGGCUAACUCCGUGCCAGCAGCCGCGGUAAUACGGAGGAUGCGAGCGUUAUCCGGAUUUAUUGGGUUUAAAGGGUGCGUAGGCGGAUUUUUAAGUCAGCGGUAAAAUGUCCGGGCUCAACCCGGGCCGGCCGUUGAAACUGGCGUUCUUGAGUGGGCGAGAAGUAUGCGGAAUGCGUGGUAUAGCGGUGAAAUGCAUAGAUAUCACGCAGAACUCCGAUUGCGAAGGCAGCAUACCGGCGCCCAACUGACGCUGAAGCACGAAAGCGUGGGUAUCGAACAGGAUUAGAUACCCGCGUA